rnacentral:tRNA from 1 species
GCCUGAAUGGCUCAGUCAGCAGAGCAUGCGACUCUUGAUCUCAAGGUUGUGAGUUCGAGCCCUGCGUUGGGUA